AGCAUUUUCUUUAUCCAACACUGCAUGAAAGUCCACCUGGGGUCUUGUAAGGACAGGUAGUUAAAAGUCACCUUUAUUUCCAGCAGGUGCUGCCAAGGGUCACCUGUGAGGGAGGCACUUGUGGUCACACCUGGCUGGCAUCUGUUAAAUAUAUAAAGGUUAAAACUUGGAUCCAUCCUUCUGUUCAGGUGCAAGGCUCUGAUCAGGGUCAGGCUUCUCAGGGACUUGUUACUCAGGGUGAAGGUUUGAUGUGCUGGACCGGCCUUAAACUCACAAACACCGGCCCUGACCCUCACAUGACUGUCCGUUUCAAAAAAAAAGUCCAGCUCAACGCUUCAGGGCGGAUAUUUCUGCUUCUUUGGCUGUUUCAAGGCUCAUGGGAGGGUCUGGACAAACGGGUUAUAAUUGACAUAUUUUGUAAAGCGGAUUACAAAGGGGGUCACACUGGUCCUGAGACUUCAAAAAGGGUCAUUGAGUUUGUUAUGAAUGGCAGUGGAAAUUAGAAAUCCAUAGGGUUAGACCUCUGAAGUUUAGGCGGCGGCAGAACAGAAUACACUUUUCAUAAAUCAGAGUAGUUCACUCAUCAGAAGCAGCGGAGAUAAUUACAUUUGGUGUUUUCAUUGUGUGGUUAGACAUCUUUCCAUCGCUUUGAAUUCACCUGUCCUGAGUCCUGCCAGAGUUUGCGCAGCCUCAUGCAAGUUUUAUCACACUGGAAACAGUUCGGCCCUUAAUGGUAUUCCCAGCGCACUGCAGUGAAAUAGUUACUUUAUCAGCGUGGCUAAUCAGAUGAAGAAUGUUUAUCCGGCGUCCUG